rnacentral:rRNA from 1 species
UACGUAGGUGGCGAGCGUUAUCCGGAAUGAUUGGGCGUAAAGGGUGCGUAGGCGGCCUGCUAAGUCUGGAGUGAAAGGUACCGGCUCAACCGGUACAGGCUCUGGAAACUGGCGGGCUAGAGAGCAGGAGAGGGCGGUGGAACUCCAUGUGUAGCGGUAAAAUGCGUAGAUAUAUGGAAGAAUACCAGUGGCGAAGGCGGCCGCUGGCCUGUUGACUGACGCUGAGGCACGAAAGCGUGGGUAGCAAACAGG